GGUGGAUCUCCCACAGAGCCUCAAGCCACUCGGCCAGCUGGGGGGACCCUGGAGACACCGAUCUCGGGCUGUGCCGUGGGGCCGGGCUGGGGGCAUGCCAGGGUGACUCAUGUGGCCGAAGCACGGGGACGGGGCCCUGAAAACAAGCAAUUGCAGGGUCCCAAAGGAGGAAGGCCCCAGGGCUCUGGGCCUCGCUGGGAGGCACAAUGGUGCUUCGUUUGCUCACCAGGCAUCAAAGCAUGGAGGGCGGGGGCAAGUCCCCCAGGGCCACGGCCCAGAGCCCCAGAGCUGGGCUCAGCCCCCGCUCCUGGCGCAGGCCUGACCUGCUCCUACCACGUCCCCACCUCGGUUUCCUGUCCCCAAGGACCCCCUUUCAGGUUUGCACUGCCUUUGGCCCUGCCGUCCCCACCCCUUCUGCGUCCAGGAGGGCCUGAGCCUGGCGCGGCCUCCGGCCUCCAUCUCUUGCGCUGCUCUCCCCCGGCCCCCCUGCCCCCGGCUCGCCGCCCCCCCCCCCCUGCCCCCCCGCCCGGCGAGCCCCGACCCGCUUUCUCUCCCUGCCUGCACUCCCUCUGGGUCUGGCGCCGCGCCGGGCGCUCGCUCCCUCGCCGCAUCCUGUCGCCCGCCGUCCCCGUCCCCGCAUCCCUCGGCUCCGGCCGCCCCGCCCGCCCCGCCCCCGCCGGUACCGCAUUGCCGUACUGCAGGGGCGCAGUGCAUUGCGCCCGCUCCGUCAAUAGGUGGACCCCCUCCUGGAGAGAUAAAACCGCCGGCGCCGCGCCGCCAGUCCCUCUGGCUGAGACCUCGGCUCCGGGUAAGGACGCUCGGCCUCGGCUCCGCCUCCGCCCCCGGCGCUCCCGGGGCUUCCUCUGUCCCCGCGGCCGGGCCCAGGGAGGCGGCCGGCACCUGGCGACGCUGCGCUGCCCGCUCCGGCUUCGGCCAGCGGCUCCCCGCACCGGGCACCGGGCACCAGGCACCGAGCACAGGCACCGAGCACAGGCACCGAGCACCGGGCAGCGGGCACCGGGUCGGCCCUGCGGGCGGUCGGGGUGGGGUGGGGGCACCGCGGCGGCGCUUGUUUAUGCCCUGGCGGCAGGACCGGCUUCUGGGUGGCGGCGAGCGCCCUGCCGCCGUGACCUUGGGACUGGCGGGGCCCCGCGGGCUGGGGCAGGGUGGUCAGUGCUGGGAGCAGCUGGGGAUCCCGAGGCCGGGGAGGCGGCGAGACCUGGGGGGCAGUGGCACCGGCCCCACCCUGGCGGGCCCAGGAGCCCGGGCUCGGUGUCGGCUCCCCACGGUGCGCUGUGGGCACCUGCUUCCCCUCGCCCAGCCACCUGUCCCCCCUCGUGGGCUGCCCAGGUUUCUGCCCUGAGCUCCAGGACGGGGCAGGGGCUGUGA
rnacentral:lncRNA from 1 species